rnacentral:pre_miRNA from 1 species
UGAGGUAGUUAAGAAAGACCGAUGGCAUGGAAUUACUCGCUCUUUCGCUUCUACCUCGGC